AAUUCGAUGCAACGCGAAGAACCUUACCUGGCCUUGACAUCUGUCGAAUCCUGCAGAGAUGUGGGAGUGCCUUCGGGAACGACAAGACAGGUGCUGCAUGGCUGUCGUCAGCUCGUGUCGUGAGAUGUUGGGUUAAGUCCCGCAACGAGCGCAACCCUUGUCCUUAGUUGCCAUCAUUCAGUUGGGAACUCUAAGGAGACCGCCGGUGACAAACCGGAGGAAGGUGGGGAUGACGUCAAGUCAUCAUGGCCUUUAUGGCCAGGGCUACACACGUGCUACAAUGGCAGGUACAGAGGGUCGCCAACUCGCAAGAGGGAGCCAAUCCCAGAAAGCCUGUCGUAGUCCGGAUCGGAGUCUGCAGCUCGACUCUGUGAAGUCGGAAUCGCUAGUGAUCGCAGAUCAGCAUUGCUGCGGUGAAUACGUUCCCGGGUCUUGUACACACCGCCCGUCACACCAUGGGAGUUUACUGCACCAGAAGCAGGUAGCCUAACCGCAAGGAUGGCGCCUACCACGGUGUGGUCGAUGACUGGGGUGAAGUCGUAACAAGGUAGCC
rnacentral:rRNA from 1 species